CCCCGAUUGGCGAUACCACAGAUGAGCACCGGCUAACUCCGUGCCAGCAGCCGCGGUAAUACGGAGGGUGCGAGCGUUAAUCGGAAUUACUGGGCGUAAAGCGUGCGUAGGUGGUUGAUUAAGUUAUCUGUAAAAGCCCUGGGCUCAACCUAGGAAGGCCAGAUAAUACUGAUUGACUCGAGUAUGGGAGAGGGUAGUGGAAUUUCCGGUGUAGCGGUGAAAUGCGUAGAGAUCGGAAGGAACACCAGUGGCGAAGGCGGCUACCUGGCCUAAUACUGACACUGAGGCACGAAAGCGUGGGGAGCAAACAGGAUUAGAUACCCUGGUAGUCCACGCUGUAAACGAUGUCAACUAGCUGUUGGUCAUAUGAAUAUGAUUGGUGGCGCAGCAAACGCGAUAAGUUGACAU
rnacentral:rRNA from 1 species